UCCCGUUUAGCUCAGUUGGUAGAGCGCGUCACUAGUAUCUCGCCAUGACGAGGUCAGUCGUUCGAAUCGGCUAAUGGGAA